rnacentral:rRNA from 1 species
UACGUAGGGGGCUAGCGUUGUCCGGAUUUAUUGGGCGUAAAGAGCGUGUAGGCGGCCAGAUAGGUCCGUUGUGAAAACUCGAGGCUCAACCUCGAGACGUCGGCGGAAACCAUCUGGCUAGAGUCCGGAAGAGGAGAGUGGAAUUCCUGGUGUAGCGGUGAAAUGCGUAGAUAUCUGCAGGAACACCCGUGGCGAAAGCGGCGCGCUGGACCACUACUGACGCUGAGGAACGAAAGCGUGGGGAGCAAACAGG